GCUUGCGCACUGGCGGGCGGCUCCGGGCACCGUUAGUGGGCGCGAGAGCCCCAGACCCCGAAGCCGCGCGCUUCCCUCCCCAUGUGCCACGGCCCAGGGCGGCAGGCCCGGCUGAGGGCGACCCCGGUGGAGAAAGAACCCCGACCCUCCCGCCUCCCGGCUCCCGCCUUGUCCUCCGCUCCCACGCCCCACCCGGCCCUUAGGGGAGGCGCGGCGCGGCCCGGGCAUGGAGCGUCCCGGGCCCCUGGAGGCUCAGUGGAGGGUUGGGCUCCAGGGAGCUCAGAGCUCUCUCGUUCAGGGACCCGAGAGUGACACGCGUGGCAUCUCUUUGCAACCCACGUCCGCGCCGCAGCACCCUCCCCUGCAGGUGCCUGCCCAGCCCCGGGAUGCCCCUGACCUCCCCUUGGACAGACUGCAGAAAGCGCGGGGCGCUGCGUCCUCUCCACCUCUCUCUGACCCCAGACACAUUGGGAGAGAGCGGCCGUGGGGCAGAAGCCAGGAGGAGUGUCCACGCAGCCUCAGCCCGUGGGAAUCCAGCCUGCCUCCAUUACUGCCGUCACCGGCUCCACCUUCGGAGAACAUCUCAGCAUCCAGCCUCCUUCCUCUGCCUCCUCUCAGGCCUCUGCCGUUCCCAUGCAGGGCAGGCCAAACUGUUUUCACAGCAUGGAAAGUUAUGUGAGGGAAGCCACACCGGCCGCAGAUACAGGCACCAGCACAUCCACUCGCAUGCACACUCACGGCUGUGGCCCGCGGCAGAUGGAGGCCCGCUCUGCCUUGUCUGUCCCUCAGUAGUGUGCGAUGACAGCACACCUGUGGGGGCCCUGCAGCUGGGAAGACUGCAGCGAGGCUCAACUCAGAGGCCCCUGCUCAGGAGCAUGGCUGAGUCACACCCCAGGGAGAAGGUGCCCCGGACAGGUGUGGCCAGCACGUCUUGCCAAGACCCCACCACCCCACCCACCCGCAUCUGUGGCCUUCUGGAACCGAGCUGUGGCCUGGGGUUCCAUGGAGCAGGUGGGGCGCGGAGGAACUGAGCUGUGGCCUGGGGUUCCGUGGAGCAGGUUGAGUAUGGAGGAACUGGGGUUCCGUGGAGCAGGUGGGGCGCAGAGGAACCGAGCUGUGGAAUGGGGUUCCGUGGAGCAGGUUGAGUGUGCCGGUCGUGGACGGGUCGUGGGCGGGACUCCCCAGUGUGUCACCACUGAGGCAUCUUCGCCCUCUUACGUGUCUCUGUUUCUCUCUCUAGAAGUCCAACACCUCCGAGAGGACUCAAAACACAGAGUGACCAGCUCCUAUGUGCAUUUCCUGGACAAACCUUUUUUUUUUUUUUUUUUUUGAGACGGAGUCUCGCUCUGUCGCCCAGGCUGGAGUGCAGUGGCACGAUCUCGGCUCACUGCAAGCUCUGCCUCCCGGGUUCACGCCAUUCUCCCGCCUCAGCCUCCCAAGUAGCUGGGACUACAGGCUCCCGCCACAAUGCCCGGCUAAUUUUUUGUGUUUUUAGCAGAGACGAGGUUUCACCGUGUUAGCCAGGAUGGUCUCGAUCACCUGACCUCGUGAUCCACCCGCCUCGGCCUCCCAAAGUGCUGGGAUUACAGGCGUGAGCCACUGCACCCAGCAGACAAACCUUUUUAAACUAAUUGUGUUGGGGGGUUCCCUGUGGGGCUGCUGCACGUCGUGGGGGAUCAGCCCACGAGAUACUCCCACUUGGCUCACAGUCACCCAGGGGCGCCUUUCAGCUGGGAGGAGCAAAAUGCCUUUCUUUCUGGAGCUGAGAAAACUCAGUCUCUCAUUUAUCUAUGCAAAGAACAAUUCAGUUCCUCAUGCAAAUGCACGCACAAGCCAGUUGGGCUUAAUUUUGGGAGAAAAAGCAACAGAGAAGACCCUUAGGAACGCACGUCCGAGCUAGAAACCAAAUGGGGUACCCAAAAGGGAGUCGUUCUCCUUGUCUUAAGAAAAAGGUGGCCGGGCGCAGUGGUUCACACCCGUAAUCUCAGCACUUUGGGAGGCCGAGGCAGGCGGAUCACCAGGUCAAGAGAUCAAGACCAGCCUGGCCAAUAUGGUGAAACCCCAUCUCUACUAAAAAAAUAUACAAAAAUUAGGCUGGGCGCAGUGGCUUAUGCCUGUAAUCCCAGCACUUUGGGAGGCCGAGGUGGGCGGAUCACGAGGUCAGGAGAUCGAGACCAUCCUGGCUAACACGGUGAAACCCCGUCUCUACUAAAAAUACAGAAAAUUAGCCAGACGUGGUGGCGGGCGCCUGUAGUCCCAGGUACUCAGGAGGCUGAGGCAGGAGAAUGGCGUGAACCCGGGGGGCGGAGCCUGCAGUGAGCCGAGAUCGCGCCACUGCCCUCCAGCCUGGGCGACAGCGAGACUCCAUCUCAAUAAAUAAAAAAAAAAAAGAGUUGUUAUCAGUAGAAGGGAAUGUCUGGUUACAGUAUGGCGUUGUGCAGAUGAAGGUCUUAUCGCAGAUGAAGCCACCAGGUCACAAGCCUCAGAGAGAAUCAACUAUAAAUGCUUCUCAUCAGA